AUUGAACGCUGGCGGCAGGCCUAACACAUGCAAGUCGAGCGGAGCGGCGGUCGGGUGCGUAAUGACUAGGACUCUGCCCGGUCGUGGGGGCUAGCGUCAGGAAACGGGCGCGUAUCCAGCAUCCUUUCAGACGAGCCUAGGUCGGACUGGGCCGUUGGUGGGGUAAAGGUCUACCAAGGCGACGAUCCGUAACUGGUCUGAGCGGCAGAUCAGUCCGACGGGAACGUAGAGACGGUCCAGACUCCUACGUGAGGCAGCAGUGGGGAAUAUGGGACAAGGGGCGAAAGGCGGAUCCAGCCAUGCCGCGUGUGUGAAGAAGGUCUUCGGGUUGUAAAGCACUUUAAGUUGGGAGGCGGUACCAGCAGAAGAAGCACCGGCUAACUUCGUGCCAGCCGCCGCGGUAAUAC
rnacentral:rRNA from 1 species